rnacentral:rRNA from 1 species
AGCCUGAACGCUGGCGGCGUGGCUAAGACAUGCAAGUCGUACGGAGGUAGCAAUACCUCAGUGGCGAACGGGUGAGUAAUGAAUCGCUAACGUGCCCCGGACUCUGAGAUAGCCGGUCGAAAGGCCGGGUAAUACCAGAUGAUAUACCUUUAUCGCAUGAUAGAGGUCUCAAAGGUCCGCCGGUCUGGGAGCGGGCGAUUUCGUAUCAGCUAGUUGGUGAGGUAACGGCUCACCAAGGCGACGACGCGUAGCCGGACUGAGAGGUUGGCCGGCCACAUUGGGACUGAGACACUGCCCAGACUCCUACGGGGGGCUGCAGUAACGAAUCUUCCGCAAUGCACGAAAGUGUGACGGAGCGACGCCGCGUGUGGGACGAAGCCCUUCGGGGUGUAAACCACUGUCAGGGGAAAGAAAGUUCUGAUCUACCCCAGAGGAAGAGGCGGCUAACUCUGCGCCAGCAGCCGC